rnacentral:rRNA from 1 species
GUGAGGAAUAUUGGACAAUGGGUGGAAGCCUGAUCCAGCCAUCCCGCGUGUAGGACGACUGCCUUAUGGGUUGUAAACUACUUUUAUCUGGGGAUAAACCUACUCACGUGUGAGUAGCUGAAGGUACCAGAAGAAUAAGCACCGGCUAACUCCGUGCCAGCAGCCGCGGUAAUACGGAGGGUGCAAGCGUUAUCCGGAUUUAUUGGGUUUAAAGGGUCCGUAGGCGGAUUAAUCAGUCAGUGGUGAAAUCCCGCAGCUUAACUGUGGAACUGCCAUUGAUACUGUUAGUCUUGAGUGAUGUUGAAGUGGCUGGAAUGUGUAGUGUAGCGGUGAAAUGCUUAGAUAUUACGCAGAACACCAAUUGCGAAGGCAGGUCACUAAGUAUCAACUGACGCUGAUGGACGAAAGCGUGGGGAGCGAACAGGAUUAGAAACCCUUGUAGUCC